GACGAACGCUGGCGGCGUGCUUAACACAUGCAAGUCGAACGGAAAGGCCCUGCUUUUGUGGGGUGCUCGAGUGGCGAACGGGUGAGUAACACGUGAGUAACCUGCCCUUGACUUUGGGAUAACUUCAGGAAACUGGGGCUAAUACCGGAUAGGAGCUCCUGCUGCAUGGUGGGGGUUGGAAAGUUUCGGCGGUUGGGGAUGGACUCGCGGCUUAUCAGCUGGUUGGGGGGGUAGUGGCUUACCAAGGCUUUGACGGGUAGCCGGCCUGAGAGGGUGACCGGCCACAUUGGGACUGAGAUACGGCCCAGACGCCUACGGGAGGCAGCAGUGGGGAAUAUUGCACAAUGGGCGGAAGCCUGAUGCAGCAACGCCGCGUGCGGGAUGACGGCCUUUGGGUUGUAAACCGCUUUCGCCUGUGACGAAGCGUGAGUGACGGUAAUGGGUAAAGAAGCACCGGCUAACUACGUG
rnacentral:rRNA from 1 species